rnacentral:rRNA from 1 species
GUAAGCGCGCGUAGGCGGUUUUUUAAGUCUGAUGUGAAAGCCCACGGCUCAACCGUGGAGGGUCAUUGGAAACUGGAAAACUUGAGUGCAGAAGAGGAAAGUGGAAUUCCAUGUGUAGCGGUGAAAUGCGCAGAGAUAUGGAGGAACACCAGUGGCGAAGGCGACUUUCUGGUCUGUAACUGACGCUGAUGUGCGAAAGCGUGGGGAUCAAACAGGAUUAGAUACCCCCGUAGUC